GACCUGCUCACAUUUAGCUCAGUGGCAGAACAUCUGUCUUGCAAACAGAAGCUCCCAGGUUCAAUCCCCAGGUAGGGCU